rnacentral:rRNA from 1 species
AUUGAACGCUGGCGGCAUGCCUUACACAUGCAAGUCGAACGGCAGCACGGGAGCAAUCCUGGUGGCGAGUGGCGAACGGGUGAGUAAUAUAUCGGAACGUGCCCGGUCGUGGGGGAUAACGUAGCGAAAGCUACGCUAAUACCGCAUACGAUCUACGGAUGAAAGCGGGGGAUCGCAAGACCUCGCGCGAUUGGAGCGGCCGAUAUCAGAUUAGGUAGUUGGUGAGGUAAAGGGCUCACCAAGCCGACGAUCUGUAGCUGGUCUGAGAGGACGACCAGCANACUGGACUGAGACACGGCCCAGACUCCUACGGGAGGCAGCAGUGGGAA